CAUACAGUUCAGGAACUACAUUGAACAUGUAUAAAAAAUCCGGGGACCAUAUUAAAAAAAUUAAAAAUUCAAGGUAGUCAUUGCACAUCGGGCUAAAGUUCAAUGACUGCGAUGAACAAAUUAACAGUUUUAGGGACCACAUUGCAUAUUAAAGCAAAGUUCAAGGACCAUUUGUGUCAUUAUCCCUUUAUUUUACACUUGUCUAUGUUUAUGAUUGUCCCUU